rnacentral:rRNA from 2 species
AGAGUUUGAUCCUGGCUCAGGAUGAACGCUAGCGGCGCGCUUAACACAUGCAAGUCGCGCGAUCGGACCAGACCAAAGUCCUUCGGGACAAUGGACUGGUUACGGAGCGGCGGACGGGUGAGUAACACGUAGCUAACCUACCUUCAUGGAGGGGCAUAGCAUCGGGAAACCGCUGUUAAUACCCCAUAAUAUUACUUUUGUAAUCAAAAUGGCUUCGGCUAUGCCUGAAGAGGGGGCUGCGUCCUAUUAGCUAGACGGUGAGAUAAAAGCUCACCGUGGCAAAGAUAGGUAGGGGGCCUGAGAGGGCGACCCCCCACACUGGGACUGAGACACGGCCCAGACUCCUACGGGAGGCUGCAGUGGGGAAUCUUGCGCAAUGGGCGAAAGCCUGACGCAGCGACGCCGCGUGGAGGACGAAGGCCUUCGGGUUGUAAACUCCUUUUCUGGGGGGGGCGAAUAAGGUGAGCAGGCAAUGGUUCACCGAUGACGGUACCCCAGGAACAAGCGCCGGCUAACUUCGUGCCAGCAGCCGCGGUAAGACGAAGGGCGCAAGCGUUAUCCGGAAUUACUGGGCGUAAAGGGCGUCUAGGUUGCCUAUCAAGUCGAUUAGUGAAAGUCCUCGGCUAAACUGAGGAAAGUCUGUCGAAACUGAUAGGCUCGAGGGACGUAGAGGGAGGCGGAACUCUCGGAGUAGCGGUGGAAUGCGUAGAUACCGAGAGGUACCCCGAUGGUGAAGACAGCCUCCUGGGCGUCACCUGACACUGAAGCGCUAAGGCCAGGGGAGCAAAGGGGAUUAGAUACCCCCGUAGUCCUGGCUUCAAACGAUGUGGGCUUGGUGUCGGCUCCCGAAGAGAGUCGUUGCCGGAGCUAACGUGUUAAGCCCACCGCCUGGGGAUUACGUCCGCAAGGAUGAAACUCAAGGGAAUUGACGGGGGCCCACACAACCGGUGGAGCACGUGGUUUAAUUCGAUGAUAAGCGAAGAACCUUACCAGGACUUGACAUGUCGGUAAUAGGACCCUGAAAAGGGAACGAACCAAAGCUUUGCUUUGGUAGCCGUCACAGGUAUUGCAUGGCUGUCGUCAGCUCGUGUCGUGGGACGUUGGGUUAAGUCCCGUAACGAGCGCAACCCCUGCCCUUAAUUGCCAGCGCAUUUGGCGGGUACUAUAAGGGGACUGCCGGAGAAUAUCCGGAGGAAGGAGGGGACGACGUCAAGUCAUUAUGAUCCUUAUGUUCUGGGCGACACACGUGCUACAAUGGGCACUACAGUGGGGAGCCAAUCCGCAAGGAUGAGCAAAUCCCAAAAAGGUGCCCCCAGUGCGGAUUGGGGUCUGCAACCCGACCCCAUGAAGAUGGAAUCGGUAGUAAUCGCGGGUCAGCCAUACCGCGGUGAAUGCGUACUUGGGCCUUGUACACACCGCCCGUCACACCAACCGAGUAGGCGACACCCAAAGUCGACUUAUGUUGCCGAAGGUGUUACCUGCAAGGGGGGUGAAGUCGUAACAAGGUAGCCG